ensembl:misc_RNA 7SK 7SK RNA
AGGACUGAGGGCAAUUUGGCUGCAUCUGUUACCCCCAUCAACCCCCAGAGUUGAUGCUGUUCAUUUACCUGGCUACGCCAGUGUCUCCUCCUCCUCUCACCACCCAAAGUGCAUCCCUCUUGAAGCCGCACACUUGGAGACAGAGGUUGGUGUUCUCUGGACUAUUUUUUUAGUCAAAGAUGCAAGACUAGCUAUUCUCUUACUCCAGAACCUCCUACCAAGCUCAGGAAUAAGACUGAGACCCAGCAUGGUGGCACAGGCUCCUAAUCCCAGCACUCAGGAGGAAGAGGCAGGCAGAUCUCUGAG